rnacentral:lncRNA from 1 species
CUAGCCUGUGUGGCCCUAAAAAGAAGCCAAAAAAAAAAAAAAAAAAAAAAGAAAGAAAGAAAGAAAAAAGAACAUAAGGCUUUGUAUCCAGGCCACCCAUGGGAUCAGAUCCUGGCACCAUUUCUUUCUAAAUAUGAGACCUGGAGCAACUCUCUCUGCCUCUCUGAACCUCAGUUUCUGUCUCCGGAAAAUGGGGCUGAUAAUGAUACCUCCCUGUGGCACAGUUGUGAGGAUCUAAGGAGUCCUUAGCCCAGCACCUGGCCCCUCACAGGGGCGCCAUCAGACUCAGCUACUAUGGUGCUGGUGUUUGCUGCUCCCCAUCAAGGAUAUGUAACCCCAGGGACCUUGUGAGAAUGGCACCCAGCGAACAUUCAGACAGGCUCUCUCUGGGUGCCUUGAAUAGCCCCGGUCAGUCAGAGGGAACCCAAGGAACAUACACUGCUUUGAAUAUUUGCUGAAAUAAUCAGGGAAGCGGAAUAGGGAAGGAAACAGGCAUCCUCAGUGUCAGGCUGGGCUCAUGAACUCUGUGCGGCAGGGGCGGGGGAGGUAAUGGCAGAGCACAAGGUGGAUCAGUUAGUUAAUGAACUUCUUAACUAAAUGGUACCAGAGACACACACACAAGAAACACUUUUUUUUUUUCAGAGAAGGAUGGCAGGUCCGGCAGCCCAAGUGCUGGGUUCAGAUUCCUGUCUGGCCACAGACCAGCUGUGGGAACUUAGGGAAGUUACUUGACCUCUGUGUGCUCCAGUUUCCUCAACUGUAGAAAUGCAGAUACAGAGGUAAUGGUGGCUGCUUCAAAGGGUGGCUCUGAAAAUACAAUGUAUCUACUCAAUCUAAGCACAAACAUCAGGGCUGGGCACAUAAUCAGUGCUCAGGAUGUCAUGGCUUCUGCCUUCUGUUCUGCUCUUAUAACCCUGGGCAAGCAAGCUCCAUCAGCCUUGGUGUCAGGUGAUGUGAUAAUCCCCAGAUUCACAGCAUCAGUACUACCCAGGAGCUGGUUAGAAAUAUAAAUACUGAAGCUUCACCUCCAACCCACCAAAUCAGAAACUGUGUUUGCUGGCUCUGUGACCUCAUUUGGAAAGAUGAACCCCUCUCUGCUAUGGAUUCCUUGUGUGUAAAUUGUGGAUUAUACUGUAACCUAUUCUUCCUCUACUCUCAUGUCUCUAGGGUGACAUUGGCCUUCCAUCAGUUUCUAGACUGGGUCAAACUCUUUUCUGCCCCAGGGAUUUUGUACUUACUAUUCCUCUGCUUGGAAUACCUCUUUGUUGGCUCACCCCUCUGCCGACCCUUGUUAUCUUUUAGGCUUCAGCUUCAUGUCACCUUCUCAAAGAGGCCUUCCUUCAUCAGCCCUGUUCCGUCCCAUUACUCCAUCUCUCUACACAUGAUAUAUUUCUCUCCUGGUGCUAAUCUCAAUCUGCAGUUGUCUUAUUUCUGGGUCUACUUAUUUGCUUCUUCUUAUCUUUCCUAUCAGCAUGUGAACAGGGCAGAAAUUGGGUUUUUCUCUCUGCUCAGUGCCUGGUAGAGGGUGGGUGCUCCAUAAACAUCUCUAGAUGGAAUGAAUGAGAAUGUCCUAGAGUUAACAUGCAGUGCUUAUUGCAGAACUGGGCACAUGUUGAAGGCCCCAUCAUAAAAAUAGCUUUCUAAUAUAAUUAUAAUAAAAUAAGCCACAGUGCAGUUCUGGGCUUCCUGUGACCAUGGACCCUGGUCUUUGCAAAUAGCUACUUAGGCAGUACUGAAGUACAGAGGCCUUCUCAUCCAUGACUCCAGACUCAGGCGGCACCCGUGUGACCCUCCUGCCCAAUCGCAUAGCCAAGCUGAAGAUGCUGCCUCAUUAAAAUAUGGAAAUAGCUGUCAUAUUGCUAUCACCCAGCCCAAGCCAUCAAGUGCUGCAAAUUGGUUUCUGCCAUUUUAUACAGCACAACAUACACUGGUUAACUUUUCAAACAGUAAACACCACCUGCAAAGUGCUUUUAAUAUUUAAUGUGACUGUAAAUUGUUUUGAAAAUAAAUCAGCCAUGUGGGAAAGCAGCAGAAGGGACAGGACACCAAUCCAGGAACUGCUUCCAUGCAGGACAGAGGGGCUAAGACUCAGGUGCUGAUUCUGAUAGCCUAAUUAUCUGAUUACUUUAGUGCCCUGACAUUUGUGCUUUGAAGACCCAUGGGUGAUGCUCUCACUCUCAGUGCCAUACUGAUUCUGAACUCAUGACAAAGCCUACCUGUACAGAGGAGAUGGGGAUACAUGCAUAAGGUAUACCUUGACCAAGGUAGGGAGAAAGGUUAUUGGCCACCACCUUGGUGGGGAAAAGGGUGAGAUUGGUACUGAGCUCUUUUGGCCAAACCAGCUCUUAACCCUUUACCAGCCAUGCUGCACAGGGUCAUGGCAAGCAUGGGGUUGGGGUAGGGUUAUAGGGCCUCAGUCUUUUUGUCUUAGUUCCAUCAUAAGUAAAAUUAAGAUGCUAGUAAUAUCUACCUGGUUUAUUACUGUAGAUUCAAAUUGGUGAAAUAUGUGAGGCAUUGUCUGGCAUGUGGGACAAUACAUGAAUGUGAGUUUGUUGCUGUGGCUGACCUGAUCCCCAUGGUCCUUGUCCCUCCUCUCCAGCUGCACUGACCUCUCCAUGCCUGGUGUUCUUGCAUGCUCCCUUCCAGCCCUGGGCCUUUGCACCAGCUGUGUCAUCUGUUUGCCUCUUCUUCCUUUUCUUUGUUUGCCUGGUUAAUGCCUGCUAACCUCUCAGCUAUUAACUCAAUUGACUCAAACAUUGAAGUUUUGGAAAACUGCAAGUUCUCUCUUCUUUGUGUCAUAGUUGGCAACUAAAUUUCUGGAUCUGGGAGACUGCGUUCAGGGGGAAGUUCUCUGUUUAGGCCAUACCCAGUCCUCUGACCACUUGUGACUGGAGUCUGAGGGCCAGGAGCAGCAGCCACAUCACAAGCCAUGUGCUGGCGGCAGAACGGCUGAGCAGUGCCCCCAGAGAAGGGAGUUGCUGUUCUUGGCAAACAAAACUAUCUUUUUCUAUUACAAUGAGAGGGUGUCCAAGGACCGUCACCCAGAAGCCACAUGAGGACCAACUGUGGUGGGUGAUCAGUUAGGCAGCUAUUGUUUUGUUCAAAGUUGGAAGGAUGAGGGCUGAUGAUGCGGGAAACAUUUCAAAGAGAGAGAGAAAGUAGGCAAAUUCUGAGCCUUCUAACUUGAGUAAGAGAAUGUAUGGUGGUAUCUGGAAGGUUAAGUGACAACAUUUAUGUCCUGCCAGGGCCCUCAUAUGAUAUAACCCCAAGUGGUGGGUGAUUAUGUCUGGGUAUGAGAUAAUAGUAUUCAGCUCAGAGAGGGAGACUGCU